CCCUUAGAUGUUCUGGGCCGCACGCGCGCUACACUGACUACUUCAACGAGUUGUUUCCUUGAUCGAAAGGUCUGGGUAAUCUUUGAAAGGUAGUCGUGAUGGGGAUAGAUCCUUGCAAUUUUUGAUCUUCAACGAGGAAUUCCUAGUAAACGCAAGUCAUCAGCUUGCAUUGAUUACGUCCCUGCCCUUUGUACACACCGCCCGUCGCACCUACCGAUUGAAUGGUCCGGUGAAUCUUUAGGACUGUGGCUGAGGCCUUGCCUUGUGCGGGUCUGGCCGUUGGAAUUUAGUUAAACCUUACCAUUUAGAGGAAGGUGAAGUCGUAACA
rnacentral:rRNA from 1 species